rnacentral:rRNA from 1 species
GACGGAGGGCGCGAGCGUUGUUCGGAAUUACUGGGCGUAAAGCGCACGCAGGCGGUCUUUUAAGUCCACUGUUAAAUCACGGGGCUCAACCCCGGAGGUGCAGCGGAUACUGAGAGACUGGAGACCGGUAGAGGCUAGCGGAAUUCCUGGUGUAGCGGUGGAAUGCGUAGAUAUCAGGAGGAACACCGGUGGCGAAGGCGGCUAGCUGGGCCGGUUCUGACGCUCAUGUGCGAAAGCGUGGGGAGCAAAC